CAGUGGGAAAGUAACAAAAGAAAUAAAAAAUGAGAUAGAAAGGCAGUGUGGUCAGAGUUAUGAGCAUUACACUUCUGUGAAAGCUUCAGAUUGAUGGUGGAAGUGUUUUUUCAGUUUUUCUAAGUUUAAAGUACAACUUAAAAAUUGAAGAGCAUCCUAAAAAUAGAUGAGAAGAGUUCCUAAAUGUGGCUUUGGAACAUCCUUGAAUCACUUGGAAUGAGGGUACCUGGGAGACUUCUAGCAGAAGAUACUUUGUGUUUCUCUUUCACAGAGAGAAUAAAGAUUGAAGAUUUUCCCUUAACCUGAAUUCCUGACUCUAGCUGAUUUUAAAAUAUGCAGUCAUCACAUUUGGCACCCAAGCGGGGGAACCAAGGACCCCACUUUCACUGAAGAAGUCUGGUGACCAGGAACUUAGAGAGACAGAGCAGACCCUUGAAAUGAAGGAGAAGAUCCAAGAAAUAUCGGGUAGUUCUGUUGCUGAUUGUGCUCACCAUUGAAAGAGCCUGGCAGUUAUGGCGUUUGACUCAUGGACAUAGAAAAUUGUUGGACUUCAAAACCCUCAGAAAUCAUUGGAUUCUCUGAGACAUAAGACUUGAAAACCCACAGGAAUCAUUGGAUCCUUUAAGACAUAAGACUUGAAAGCCCUCAGGAAUCAUUGGAUUUUCUGAGAAAUGAUAAGACUGUUAUAGGACUUCAAAAUCUGCUGGAAUCAUUGGAUUCCCUAACACAUAAAAAGACUUUUGCAGGACUUCAAAAACUUGGAGGGAUCAUUGGAUUCCCUGAUAUGUGAAGCAAUGGACAAUAGAUUGGUUUUGGACUAUCUCUUGGCUGCUGAAGAAGGCAUAUGUGUGACUGCUGUUUACAUACCCUCCUUCUAGGACUUCUGGCAAUCUUUUACAACACAAUGUUGAUUUAUAUUGUUUGUUAUACCGUUACUUGCGUGUACAAUUCAUGUUUGUUACACCACACCAAGCCUGCACUGACUGUGGGGAGAGUCAUCACUAAUAGUCUCUGCAUUUAUUGCUAUGUGCUUGUGUAAUACUUCCCAUGCUGAUGGGUUUGUGCAUAAUAAGACCUUUCAGCCCAGAAAUGCGCUAGCAACCCCCACUUCCCUUUGGUGCUUUUCAUCUCCCUUCCUAAGAUGUCAGGGAGGGUGUGAUCACCUCCCCUUGGGGGCUCUGACCUCCCUGAGGAGUCAGGGAUGGCAUGACCACCUGUGUUCUAAAAUAAAGCGGGAGAUGUAAUGGGCUGAGGCUUGAGUUGAUGCACUGAGGUCCCAAGCACUUGAGGCUAAAUAGUAAUUGGACCAUACUCUAUUAAUAUAUAUUCUUGGAGAAAGAAUGGCCCACACCCACUGUUUGUGCAAGUCCUGAUGUGUUGUAUAGGAAAUGAUGAUUUUGGUGGGUGGAGGCAGAGGGGAGGAAGAGAGGCGGGGAGGGACUGCUGGCUGGCUUCUUGUUGCAGCUGCUCACAUUGCUAUCGCGAUCUCCCUUCACCUUUGAUCCCCCUUCAUCUUCACAAAGAAUAAAGAUUGAAGAUUUUCCCUUAA